CGACGCCGCGUGAGGGAUGAAGGCCUUCGGGUUGUAAACCCCUUUCACCAGGAGUGAAUCCAGACGGUACCUGGGGAAGAAGCGCCGGCUAACUACGUGC
rnacentral:rRNA from 1 species